AGAGAUGUGUGAUGACGCAUAUCAAUAAGCGGAGGAAAAGAAACUAACAAGGAUUCCCCUAGUAACGGCGAGUGAAGCGGGAAGAGCUCAAAUUUGAAAUCUUCAAGGUUCUACCUUGACGAAUUGUAGUUUAUAGAAGUGUUUUCUGUUAGUAGGAGUGGCAAAAGUUCUUUGGAAUAGGACAUCAUAGAGGGUGAGAAUCCCGUAUUUGGUCAUUCUUUCUAGCUUUGUGAUACACUUUCAACGAGUCGGAUUGUUUGGGAAUGCAGUCCAAAAUGGGUGGUAAAUUUCAUCUAAAGCUAAAUAUUGGCGAGAGACCGAUAGCGAACAAGUACCGUGAGGGAAAGAUGAAAAGAACUUUGAAAAGAGAGUUAAACAGUACGUGAAAUUGUCAAAAGGGAAGCGUUUGACACCAGUGUUGUUUUUCCGAAAAUCAAUUACGAAUGUUUUGUUUUUGAGAAGUUAUGACUUCAUCGGCUUGCUUCUCUCUUUACGAAACUUUCUUAAUGCACUUUUCGGUUAACAAGUCAACAUCAAUUUCUUUUGUUGUAAAAGGGUAUGAGGAAGGUGGCUUUCUUUUCGGAGAAAGUGUUUAUAGCCUUGUACCUCUGCAAUCGGAGAGAUUGAGGUCUGCAGCGUAGAUCCUUCGGGGUUAGAUACAUUUGUGCUAAGUUAUAGCUUUUCAUAGACAACUUGUUGACUAUGUUAAGUCUUGUAGCUUACUCGCUUAUGCUAUUUUACCUACGCUUAGGAUGUUGAAGAUGUAGCACAUCAU
rnacentral:rRNA from 1 species